UAGUAACAACAUUAAGUCUCACUCGUAACGCCUCCGUAAAACACCAUCACUCAUCUUCCUCAGAUUCUUACUCUUCCAGGACAUACUUACCCUGCUGAUCAAUGCUAUCAAAAUGGCCAGUUGGUUGGACCGGUAAAUUGGCGAGUGAACCGGGUAUAGAUUUAUUUUUGGCAAUUUAUCCUUGAAAUAAAGUGGACAAAUUUAUAUGCAGUUAUAAGAAAAAUAAGAGGAUGUGCUAUUUUUUGUUGAUUUUGUUUUAAAUAAAAACAAAAUAAAGGAAGGGUAGUAUAGUCAUUCUGCUAUCCUGCCAACUCUCUCUCUAUAUAAGCUCUUCUAAGGCCCGCCCUAACUAGGGUUUUACCAGCAAAAAGCAGUUCCUCUAGCCUCUCUCUCUCUAUCUCUCUAAAAGAACUAGUAGAAGCAGUCUAGAUCUUCGUCUGAUUUCUCUGCGCUUUCUCUCCGAACAAAAAGAUUUCGUUUUCUGAUGUCUUGUGAUAAGCUUUGAUGUUUUCUCAUCCUUUUCUGUUUAAUGACUCGCACAUAGUUCUUCUUGGGAAUCCAUUUUGCAGUUUCCAGGAUUUUAUUUGUGCGUAAAGCGAACUGAAUACUAUCCUCUCUGCUUGAGCCUUCUCCUUAAUAUUUUUCAUGGAGAUGUGCUCCAAUGUUAUUGGAUUACAUUCUUUUUACUGUAAUUUUUCAG